rnacentral:lncRNA from 1 species
CUCAACCCCCGGCUAUAAUUAUCCACCUUUAGCUUUCUUCUUGUAUGAGCACUCUUAUCAGCACAGUCCAAAAAGACAAAACAAGAAGCAAAAACAUGAGCGACCCAAGCGGCCAAUCCUCAACAACAGCUGUCAGAGGAGACAGCAACGGCGGUGGUAAUAGCGGCGGCGGCGGCUCGUUUGCUAGUCAGCCGCAGAGAGCAAAGGUGAGGACGCAAGUGUGGGCUGGAGUUCUCGGCAUCACCAACAAAUAAUUUUGUUAUUCUUUUCACUUUUGACAACAAAAUGUCUAAGUGAAAAAUGGUGGUGGUGAACUGGUGAUUAUUAUGCUUUUGAUCGUUGUUCUUGUUAACUUGAUUGUGUCUAAAUAAACCAGCGAGAUCAUGAUCAUUAUCGUCAUUGUAAUGAGAUUUUGAAAAUUUUUUCUUUCUUUCAACUUCUGCAACUAAUUUUAGAAAACCCUAAACAAAAUUACAAAUAUUUAUUGUGUAGAUAAAAAUUAGAUUUCUCUCAUUUGAAUCGAUGUAUAAAGCGAUAUCAGAAACAAUAUCAUUAAUUGAGGGUCGAGUAGGCAGGGGCGGUCCUUAUAUUUCUGGGGCCCUGGGCGAAUUUUUUUUUUUUGUAAAAGGAUAAUAAAAUCGGGGGCCUAAUUACAAUAAAUUAAAAAAUUAGGGGCUUAUUUGUUAAUAAUUUUUUGCUGAUUUUUUUUUUAAAAAAUAGGGGCCCUAGGCGGUCGUUUCAUUCCGCUCUCCUCAGGACCGCCCCUGCGAGUAGGUACGUUGAUAUCGCUUGCGCAUAAUUUCAAAGUAAACUAAUGAGAAUUUGAUGCUAAGUUAAGUAAGCUACGCUAGUUUCUCAGAAUCACAUGGCCAUUAAAAUCAGAAGGAACGUGCAUUAGUUUAUAUAAAAGACCAUUUUAAAAGAAUUUUUAAAGGUAAAAUAAAACAGACUAUAAAAAUAUUAUAUGGUGUGUGGAGUGUUUUUGAAUGGAAUAAUAUCCACUAUAAGUAAAAAAUAAUAUAUAUAUAUAUAUAUAUAUAUUUUUUAAAUCCACCAUAAGUGCCAUUAUCCACAACAAAUAUUUAUAUAUAUCUCUCUAGCUAAAUUUUCACAGAUUAUGCGAGUUUACGAAGAUGCCUCUACACCAUAUGAAUAUGGUUUAGCCGUUUGUAAUUGAUAAGAAUUCAGUUUGAUAUAGAUGUACAUGUACCAUGAACGUCUACUAAUUUUCUAAAAAUUGCAAAAAAAUUGAUCAGAUGACAAAAUAAACAAUUUGGCAUACAAUGGACUUAAAUAGACCAAGUUGGUCUGGCCAAGUAGGCAACUACGAAUAUUUUAGAACUUUUAGCCUAUUAGAAAAUGCAUUGGGCUAUCAUAUUGGCUAUGUUUGAGCUAGGCUUGUCAGUUGGGUUGGACCACACCCAAAUAGAUAUGUCUAAGUGAGCGUUUUUUUUUCUGGGUUCAAAACACUCACACUCAUAUUCAGCCCACACCCAACAGCACUCAUACCCAGUAACACCCAUCACCCAAUUGAACACCCAAACCCGUCCAUUUAUAAGCAAUUUAAGUAUUAGUCCAAAUCUAUUUUUUUUUUCUGAACACCUACCUAAAUCUGUUUAAAUUCAAAUGGAAAAUUUCUUUAUAAGCAGCAGGGAAGAAAACCUUCAAUCAAAAACGAGAUAAAUAUGAGUUUUAUAAUCUAAACAAUUCAUCAUCAUCAUCAGAUUCAGAGCAAGAGUAAAACGAGAUAGAUUCAGAGCAAGAGUAGAACGAUUCAUCACAGAUUUACAAAACUGGAUCGAAGCUAAAAGCCAAAAACCCACAACAUAGAAACGAGAUGGAUGAUCGAAUCAUGAAACAUACCUGAAAUCGCGAGAAGAAAAAGUAGAAAAUGGAGAAAUCUUGUACGGAUUAAGAGAAUCAAAGCCGGAGAAGACGAAUCGAGAAGCAAAGAUCGAUUUUGCCAGACCGAUCGAGAAGAAAAGUCGAAAAGAAUCGCAAAAUAUUUUUUCCCCAAAUUGACUAAACUCUAGAAAUCAAGUGUUUUGGGCCAACCCAACAUCCAUUUGAUUUGGACCAGUUAACCCAUGGACAAAGUAGGUCUUUAGCCCAGUUAGACCAAAAGUUAUUUGGGUAUUACCAUCACCUACCCAUAUUUGUUUUGAAUGGGUGAACCCAUGAGUGGCCCAACCAAUUGACACCCCUAGUUUGAGCAAACCAUAGAAGGUCUCUAAUUCACAACCGGCUAGAUCCUUCUUGUAAGCGGUGCACCUCGUAGUUUAUACACCAAACAGAUUGAAUUAUUAUUAUUUACAUAUUUCUGCUUUAAUCGAAUUUAAAUUCAAAAUUUUAAUAAUUUAGACCACCUUAUAUAUAAUUUUAAGAAGUAAAUAUAGAUUAAUUAAGAAAAGGCCUAACAUUAUUAAGAUACAAAUACAUGUGAAAGUUUGAAAUAAUCUAUUUAAUGAAAAAAAUAUACCGUACACUUAUUAUGUCUUAAAAAUUGAUAGAUAUAUAUAUAUAUAUAUAAUAUAUACCAAUUUAAAAUUGAAAACAAAAUGUUUAUAUAAAAAUAAACAAAAACAAAACCUCCUGCGGUUGCGCGAGCCAAGAUCUAUUUAUGAUUAAAGAAAAGCAUUUUUGUGGUCCGCUUUAGGCGCUAUACGAAUCACAGACCGGCACUGAUCACAGAUUCACAGUAGACAAACUCUAACAUAACUAACCUUCAUAACGCACACGUACUGUUUCUUGUAUCACUUCACAAACUAAUACAAAACACCCUAUAUCUCCAAUCUCUCCAUUUUUUUACUAUGUACGUGAGCCCAUGACAAUAUCUUGAAAACCACAUCUUCCAUACUAAUAUCAUAACGUGUUUGGUAACGAGGAGAAUAAAAGAGCUCCACUAAGUUGCCAUUUACAAGAUUAAUUCUAAGUUCUAACAGAUAAGUCAGUCAAUAAACUCCACAGCCUCUGCAUGUUUCACUGAAAAAUAGUACUGAGGAAACAAAACUGACUUCACACUUCUUGGUGUCUUCCAUAAAUGUUCGAGAACAUUACAGCGUUCUUAAGUUUGGUGUGUCAAAUUAUAUGAACGUCACCACAACGAAAUCCGAUUAAUUGACAUUAUUAGAAAAAUUAAUUCUAAUCAAGAUUUGUUUGCUAGCAAAUAUAUGUAAUAUUAUAUCUCGAAGUUGUAUAAUCAUGAAACCUCCGUAAGAAGCUCGAUCCAUACAAGCUCAAGCUUCUUACACCACACCUGAUGGAAGACGAAGAACAAGCUGUCCACCCAUUAAACUGUUUCCAGAAAACAGACAGAAGUUCCAAGUCUUUAGGCAUUCAAAGGUUUUCAACAAUAGUGUCUAUAAUUAAGAUCCUUCAUUAAUUUUGUUUUACCUCUGGACAUAGUAAUAACAGAAAUCUGCAAGAAUGAAGGUUUGGACGAUUUCAGAGAGAAGGACCAUUAUAGGCCAUAAUCCAUAUCCUAAUGCAGUCAGUAACCGCCCUCCCGAAUCCAACACCUACACGCAC